rnacentral:rRNA from 1 species
UACGGAGGGUGCAAACGUUGCUCGGAAUCAUUGGGCGUAAAGCGCACGUAGGCGGCUAGAUAAGUCGGGUGUGAAAGCCCUGGGCUCAACCCAGGAAGUGCAUUCGAAACUGUCUAGCUUGAAUCUCGGAGGGGGUCAGAGAAUUCCCGGUGUAGCGGUGAAAUGCGCAGAUAUCGGGAGGAACACCAGAGCGAAGGCGGCUCGCUGGGCCAUUCCGUGACGCUGAGACGCGAAAGCUAGGGGAGCGAACGAGG